UCGUGCUAGGCGGGGAGUUAGCGGUGCCCUGUCGCCCGAAAUCCGCUCAGCGGGGCUGAAUUCCCCGUGAAGGGCUUGCGUUGAGCCGGCCGUUCCAAAUUCCUGUGCCGAUUGGACACCGCGCAACAGGCGGCUACGAACCCCGUCAGGUCCGGAAGGAAGCAGCGGUAAGUAUUACCGUCGGUGUCGUGGUUCACUCUAAUCAGGUGCUCGAAGGCGGGCGGCGCGGCCCCAACGGGUUCGACGCGGGGUGCACGG
rnacentral:SRP_RNA from 1 species